UUUUCUUUAGAGCCCAGUAAUGUUAUGUGUCUUUUCACAUGUUUAUUGGCCACUUGUGUAUCUUCUUUGGAGAAAUACCUUUAAGUUCUUUGCUCAUUUUUUAAUUGGGUAGUCUUUUUUUCUUAUUGAGUUGUAUAUUGAUGCUACCUUUGUCAAUAAAAAUGUAUGCAUUCAAAAAGGCUGACAUGAUAUUGUUGACAGACAGUAUUUGUAUGGUAAAUAGAAGUUUUAAUUAAUUGAAUAUUUACCCAUGUCUUUGGAAUGUUUUACAAUGAACAUAUUUGUAAUAAAACAAGCUAUGUGAAGAAAAGGAGAAGGAGCCAUGGUGUGUCAAGAGGCCCAGAGAGCCAGAGUGCUGCUGAGGCAGGGGCAGGACUGGACGUUUUAUGAUAGGAGUACUUGUACCAGACCACACCCUCCUGACUUUUCUGAAGCCUUUGGAACAUCCAAGAUAAGAGAAGAUUUGGCAAUAAGGACAAAUGGCCAUGUGACCAGGCUUAAAAUAGACAACAUCCAGGGAUGAACAUGAGAUGCAACCAGGGUCCAUCACAGUCCUGUCAGAAGAGGAUAAUUGCACAUCUUCCCCUCUGAGGAAGGAGUAAGGGGAGGAGGUGGCUCAUGCAGGGAC
ensembl:lncRNA